AACGAACGCUGGCGGCGUGUUUAAGACAUGCAAGUCGCACGGGGCAGAUUGAGUAGCAAUACCUGAUUUGUUCAGUGGCGCACGGGUGAGUAACACGUGAAUGACAUGCCCUUGAGAGGGGGAUAGCCCAGGGAAACUUGGAUUAAUACCCCAUGGUCCGGCAACGGUAAAGUGGGGCCGCAAGGCUCCCGCUCAAGGAUUGGUUCGCGUCCUAUCAGCUAGUUGGCGGGGUAACGGCCCACCAAGGCGACGACGGGUACCUGGUCUGAGAGGACGAUCAGGCACACUGGAACUGAGACACGGUCCAGACACCUACGGUGGCAGCAGUCGAGAAUAAUUCACAAUGGGGGCAACCCUGAUGGUGCAACGCCGCGUGGAGGAUGAAGGUCUUCGGAUUGUAGACUCCUGUCAUCCGGGAGCAAGUCCUGGCCGUGAAUAGCGGACAGGGUUGACAGUACCGGAAGAGGAAGGGACGGCUAACUUCGUGCCAGCAGCCGCAGUAA
rnacentral:rRNA from 1 species